UUAAGUCAGGGUCUCACUAUGUGGCCCAGGCUGUCCUUGAAUCUGGGGUCCCCUGCCUCUGCCUACUGAAUGAACAGAUUCUAGCAGGACAGAUUUAUCACAGCAUCACCAACAGGAGUUACAUUUUCCAUUAUGACAUCACGACAAUUACGACCACUCCAGCACCACCAGGAGACAGGAACUCUUCAAUUCCCUUCUAACCUUAUGUAUGGGGCCAUCACAGUACACAAUUCAUCGCUAACCAAGCGUUAGGACCUACCUCUGUGGCUGUAUUUAGAGCGAUUCAUCUUUUUAUUUCUGAUGAAUAAACCACUAAGGUAGCCAGCCCCAACCAGGUGGAAUAGAGGCUGAGAGAGUUUGACUUUGCUACAAACCAGAGAGGCUAGCUGUAUCCUGUUCCCUCCGUUACUGAGGAGCUCCGAAGAGAAAGCCAGUCACUGUGGAACAUCAAACCAAGACAGGACAUUAAGGAGCCCACCCUGCCCACGGUGUGAAAUAGACAGGCUGAAUAGAGCCUCUCUGAACUGCCCUGGGCUACACACAGCUUGGCCUUCAGCAAACUUUGAGGUAGCCUACAAACUACUUCCUUCUGAAGAAUGGGAACAGACCCCUGCCCUCCUUAACCUAGGGCUGCUCUAAGGUAAUAGAUGUGAAACUUGCUUUGGAAAGUCUCUGGGUUGCUGGAGGAUGGGGGAAAUUCGGGAGCUCCUCUGCCAGGGUCUUGAUGGUCACCUAACCCUGCCUGUCAGAGAAAAAGGAUGGGAAGUAACUACCACUUGGCUAUUUUCUUUCUCUGUAGCCACAUGGGAUUUAAGUAUUAUUCCAAUUUUACAGAUAGAAAGCUUGGCGCAGACAAUUAGCUACAUGUUAGUCACAGGCUGGCUACUUAGUAGCGUGGGAGCUAAGCACUAGUAUUUCAUGGUCCCUUGGGGGAAAAGAUUUCUGCCUUGGUCUUUUUGGCCCUGUGGGACUUGCAGUUCUCUCUUGUGUUGGCUUCUCUGUUUCGUCACUGUGUUCAGGCCCUGUCCUUCAAGCCACGCCCUCUGUCAAGUUCUGCCUCCCUCUCCACUGCCACUAUGGCUUCCUCUCCUCAGCUGCCUGCACCCUGACCUGAGGUCUGAGUUGACCGGGGCCCCAACUGGAGUAAGAGAUCUCCGGGAACAUCUUGUUGCUGAGUUUACCGUCUUGCGGAACCCCCAGUCGCUUGGGUGUUGGGACAGAGAAGGGGCUUAGCCAGUGUUUAUUGAGAGCACAGGCUUCUCCCUUCUCUGAUCUAGUCACUCUGGUCCUCUCUGCACAGGCUCAAGAUCUCCCAUGCUCAGCUGCUGGGGUCCACGUGAGCUGGGGCUGGGCUGUUUCUCCUCAGGCCCCAUGUCUCUAGCCCAGUGCCUUCUGUCCUGCUAAAAUGAGUGCCACGAUUCCUUGGGCAAUUCUUCUCCUCCAGCUCCCCAAUGCUGGGAAGCCACGGACAGUACCUCCUCUCACUCAGGGAGAUCUGACCCAGGGAACUGAAACACAGACUGUUAUUGUUGGCUGUCUAAAUGGCCCUAGCCAUGCAGGAGGCAGACACUCCCAUCCAUGAGAGCUGGAGCCCCUGCAACCUGGUGGUGAAGCCAGAGGGAACAUCUCUACUUGGCCUCUCCUCUCAUAGGAAUGGAAAAUCCAAGUUCAGGGAGGACAGAAGGCCACUCACUAGGGACAGGCCUACUCCCAGGUUAAGGAUCCUAGAGGAAUCGGGUAGGGAGGAGGUGCCCAUCUGAGGAAGCCAGGCAGACUAGCUACAGGCUCCAUUGGGACCAUAUGCACAGGUUCACACACUAGGACCCACAAAGUAGCCCUUCCCUAAUGGGUACAACUUGGGACUCGAGUGGGCUGCUGUCCCAGAGACCUGCUCCCCUUACCCCUGAGAACACAAACAGCUCCUUGCCACCUUGUUUGGUGUGUACAGCCGAGGUCACAUUACUACACUGUGCAGGACUGUGGGGUGAUAAUCACAGGAAAGGGUACCCUGCUCUUUGCCUGGCAUAAAGGUAACCCUAGACCACUCACCCGCCAUAUGCAAAGGCAUCUCCUACUCAGAAAGCAGCAAAUCACUAAACCACCUUGCCCUGGGAUGGCUAUCUUGGAGCCUUUGAGGAGUUUGUAGUAAGAGGCUCUCUGAACUUCCUGCUCCCCCUCACUUGCAUGUCUCCCAGCACUAAGUUUGUUUCUUUGGUUCCUGAGAGUCUAAUGUGAAUGCUACCCCAAUGUCAGAGAAAGAUCAGGACAAACCAGCUCUACCCCUAGUCCAUGCCCAGUUUACUACAUACUCUCCACAGUGAUUGGCCACACAGUGGUGAUUGACACACAGGAUUACCAAUGAGAGAGACGGCUCUCCCAAUACUACCAACACUAGAAAGGAGGGGCAUGAGGAAUGUUUUCUUAGCUGAGCAAUGAUGAGUAACUCUGUUUCCUCUUUAAUUCUUCACGAAGGUCUUUGUAACACAUCUCUGUGCCUGGCACAAGCAGCAGGAGAUAAAGGUCUGUGUGAAUAAAUGAACAAAAGCUUCUAGUGUCUCUCCUGACUACAUACCUGUGUGUUUGCUUGGCUCUGGAUCGUUCCAUUCUGAAUAAGGGUGAUCAAUAAGCUCUCUUCCAGCAGAGAGGAGAGAGGAGGCUGGGGAGGUAACUGACUUAGACUGCCCUCCACAUUCUCAUCUCUCAGCUGCCAAGAUGUCCAGCCAAUUCUGACCUCUCAAAGGGGGAACUCCAAUCUAGAAAUACUCUUCCGUGAGAAGGCCUAGCUAGAGUCUAACAGCAGAAUAUGGGGAGCAGAGAUGAGCUAUGAACACCAUCCUCUAAAUAUACUCUGUCAAUGAGAGGCCCAAGACACUCCCAUCUAAGUUCCUAGCCCUUAGCCACAGCAUGCUACAAGGUCAUCUCACAGAAAAGAAGCCGUAUUGAUAAUAACAUGCAGUGUCUCUGUCCACUUCCUCCUGGCUUGGCCUCUAGCUCAGAACCUGCCCUUGUUGACUUAGAUCUUGUCCAGUUCCUCCCACACCCCCGGAACCACAUCUACAGGGUAAGAUGAUGGGAUGUCUUCAUGGGGUUUGAGAGAAGGAGCUGUUCGGGGCAGACUGGACACAGGUCUAAAAUGCUCCCUGUGGCCGUGCCAAUGUCAAGAGCCUUUGACCCACUGUAAGCAGAGGCCCUCUGGAUUCAAGAGGUAAGUUUGUAUUUGCCUAUCCAUUGAGGCCUAGGAUGGUGCUGGCCCUAGAAGCAGAAGGGAGUAAAUAUUUAUAAGGGAGCCAGAGAGGCAAGAGGCCUGGAUACUAAGUUUCCUUAUGCAAAGCCCACAUGAGAGCUAAACUCCCUAGCUCUUUUCCAAUAAUGGCUGGUUACAAUCUUUCUUUGGCAAAAAGGUCCACACAGCCCCCAGGAUUUGCUUAGCGCCUGGGCACCAUGCUCUCACUCAAAGCCACGGCUCUUGCCACACUAAUGCCUAGGAGUGGGUGAGUAUCGAGGUUUGCCUGAGAAGCACCAGCUGAGGCAGGGGGAAAGGAUGAGAAGUAGCUCCCACCCCUGGGGCUAGGCUAGACCCCAACACACCGUGUGCUAAGCUAUAGUCUUCUUUGAGACAGCCAUCGGCCCCCUUCAGCACAUACUGUGAAAGUAUACGGAAUACAUGCAGAAAAUGCCUGGAUACUUGGACGGUGAGUGUGUCAGUAGAGAGGAAGUCCCUGGAAGACAGGAAUGACUCUGGGAAAGUGGGAUUCCCUCCCACCCCCACAUUCACCUCAAAGAGGAAUGGAGAAGGCAAAUUGCUCGGGCCAGUUCCCAGGACCAACACCAACAGAGCUCAAUGGAGCUCUCCAAAGCUGGGCCUAUGAGAAGGCUCCCCAGCUUGAAUUCUGGCCUCUUUAAAGGCUAGAGCUAUGGCUUUCACGGAUCUUGUUUAAACUUGAGAGGGUGGGGGAGGGGCCGAGGGAAAAUACAUUCUUCCCCACCAAAGCCAAGAGUCUAAGGUAAUACUUCUGGUUGUAAGUGAUCGCAGUCUGUUUGUGAUUAUGGCUCUGGCUUUCUGGCAGGGCAGCCCUGGAACCCCGCAGUCUUGCUGACGGGAGGGAUGCUCUCCCUCACUUGGGUAAUCUUGUCCUCAUCUGACAUGACCAAAGACAUUCAUCAGCCCCUCUGCUUCCAACAGUUCUCCAUGGCAACUCCUCAAAAACAUUAUUUAAAGAGGGGGAAAAAAGCCACCCCAAAACCCUAUCAUGAAAUUCUUUCUGUUACAGGCACGGCCAAGAGAAUCCAAGAAACGCCAGCUGCCCCAGUGGCUGAUGUCAUCUGCAGGAGGGAGGGGGCACUGGACCACCCUCACCCCCUUCCUUUCAUCAGGGAGAACAAUGCACGCACACAUGGACUCCCCUCUGCUGCCCCACUAAGAAGUGGCUCAGGGGAAGCUCAGCUGUUCUCUCUCCGGAAAUUUAAUCUGCAAAGCAUUUGGCCUCAAAAAGUCAAUUCCAAAGGUGUCCAGGAGCCCUCCAUCCUUGUGAUCAUUGUUACCAACCCAGGGACGCUUGCAGCCGCUGACCCAUUUGGCAGCUGGGGAGAGCUAGCUGGGGGAUGGUCAACAUGGCCACUUUCCCCUCCCCCGUGCCUCCUGUGUGGAGAGAGACUGUAUGUUUACACAGGCCCCGGGGGUGAGGAGGUAGCAUAACUCUAAGAUCUCCACACCAUGGGACAGAGAGGCUAACUUCUGGCUCAGUUGAUAAAAUCGAGGGUGGUUAGGGAAUUGGGGAGCUCCGGAUCAAAGCAGCAACUGUGGCUACUGCUGUUACCCCUCUACCCUUCACAUAAGGGCAGCUGGUGUUCUAAGGGACAAAGUGGCUUGAGGUCACCCAUUAACUGGUAGUUGAGCUUAGAGCCCAGAUUGACCAAGAACACCUUAUGCUCAGCCUGGCUUCCCUGAGUGCUGUGCCAAGUGGCAAUCCCUUGACCCAGUGCCUCGGGCAAGGGGUGGGUGGUCUGGAGCUGGCAGGGAGCACCACCAGGCUAGAGAGAGGUUAGUCGGUCAAGCCAGUCAUGAUAGGAGCCUGUAGUUCAUGCUGUAGGUGCUGGCUGGGUCAGUGACCUAAGGCCCCAUGUUCUUGCCACACUUGGCUUACUAUCGGUCUCCUCCCAACAAACUGGCUCAAACCAGCCAACAACUCAAGUCUGAGCCACGGGCAGGCUGGGGCCCUAUGAGAACAGGAAACAAAUGAGAAAGUCAGAGUGUGUGGGAGUGCCAGGCCUGGGUACGUAGCCAACUGCCACAGAGACUUUCUUGAAAGUAGGCUGCAGGGCCCGAGUCUGGGGUCUGACGGGGACUCAGCCAGCCACGGGCAGUACUGCAUCCUCUGGAGGACACCAGCUAGCUUAUCCCUAGCUUCACUCUGGAGCCUAGGCAAGAUAAGCAAGUCUGCAUUUUCUAGCUGUGUACGCAUACAUGUGAGGGAAAAUGCGUCUCUAAAUACACAGAGCUGGGGAAGUGAGUCUAAAAUCUAUCCUCAGCUGCAGCCUAAAGGGCCCAGUUGGGAGCAGUGGUUUAGCAGGUAGGGUGGCCUGAGAGCCCUGCUCCCGUCCACUGAUACCUGCUAAAUUACUUCUAAGGCCUUAGGGGCUGGAUCCCCAGUAUCAAAGUCCCAGAGCCAUGAGGCAGACCUGCCCACCUCCUUCCCUCUGUACAGCAGGGAGUAACUACUAUUUAAUAGCACACAGUAGGUCCUUUCAGCCUAUUUACUGCAGCUGAACUCAGCCACUCAAGGGCAACCUCCUUUCUUUAGCCAGAUCUUAUCAGUCCUUUCCACCUAUUCAGCCUGCGGGCAACGCCUGACUUCUCCAUCCUGGCAAGUUGCCCACCACCCCUUUGUUCAAGAUGUGCUUUCUUCAGAAGCCUUCUCUCCACCCAGCCCAGCACCGAGCCUCCACAAAACCCACAGUGCCCAGUCCGUGGGCCACCUUGAACCCUAGACUCCUGUGGUCAACCCCACCUUGCUUUUGUCUUUACAUGGCAAAUGUAUUCAGCUCACAGUUAUCUGGAUUACACAUAGUGUCUCAGGGACGUCACGGUCAGCAAGGGCAAGACAAUGGUGGAUUCCUGUCCAUUGCUCUGCUCCAGUCCUAUGCAUGCCCACGGGGUACACAGUACAUUCUCGAAGCCUGUCAACUAUGGAAGCAGGAUUUCCCUGAGUACUGAAGGCUGGUAUAGAGGGAAGAGAGGAGAAAAAGAUGGGGCAACUAUUCCAUAUAGUAUGGGGCUAGAGGAGAGGGGCUGGGAUGGUUCUGUUUGGUUAUGAGCAGAGAAAGGCAACAUGGACUGGAGGUACCUGGACUAAUGCCAGGGAGCACAGCUCAGGUUGUCCCAAGCCCCUCCAGACCUACCACUCACGUGCUCCAGCCUCUCCUGAAGGACCCGGGGAGCCAAGGAGAAGGCAGGACAUCUUCUCCACCCUCCUUCAGAGUCUCUCUGACCUGCAGCCCUUGGCCUUUUCCUGCUCCAGAGGAACUGACCUCUGCUUCCUAGCGUUUAGGGUAUGGAGAAGUCACACGGCAAAGCUUUCUGGGGUUUGCCCUUCCAAAGAAGCAAAAGGCUGCAAACACUCGGGCUCCUGACCUAGACCAACGAUGCUACAUAAAGCUCAUGCCUGCCUUCCUGACUGUGCAUCCUGGGCAAGACACCUCACUUUUCUGGGUUUCAGUUUCCUCCUCGGAGAGAGAGGACACCAAGCCCCACCUUGUCUCUCACCAAGAGGUUUUAAAAAUUGCAUGCUUUUCUAUCCUGUGAAACUUAAAAUAUUAUGAUUCAAAAAGCGGUGACCUUGGAAAAUGCUCAAAAUUCCCAGCUAGCUGGCAGGAGCAGGCAUUUCCCCAGGUGGCCUUGACCUCUCUGCUGAGUCCCAGCAGGCAUCGGAGAGAACAGACAUUCAGACUUCUGGCCACUUAGGUUUCAAGCCACGGCGAGCCAAAGGUGGCUGUGCCGGUGAGGGCAGACCGGACCAUAGGAGAGGGAGACAUAGCUACCAUGCCUCAGUUUCGGAUCUAGGCACCGUUUGCUCACGUUACCACUAGUCCUUGGCAGACUGACUCUGAGUUUGGCUUCCUGUCAACCCCUGUGGCUCUCCUGGGCCAUUUCCCUACAAUCCAGUCCAAUAGAAGCUUGAGAGAAGCAAAUGAAUCUUAGCAGAAGCCUGAGAGAUGCCCAGCUAGGACGAGAGAGCAUGGGCUGCGACAGUGAAACUCAAACGAUAGUUUCUUAUCACACAAUUCCAUCGGAACCUGAGCUAUAGGAACCAGAAGUUUCCCUCCGCUUUGGGGGACUCAACGGGCUCCAAGGUGGGGAACCCCAUGGAGCAGUGAUCCCCACAAGGUCUUUCAGGUCACAUGAGCUAACUGGGUCACCCUAAUUGAUCCCCACCUUAAGGCUAGGAUUCGCGGUCAGCACUGGACACCUAGAGGAUGAGGUUAUGGAAUCAAGAUGCUGAUAGGAAUGAGGGUGGUUGCCGUGGGCUACCCUCAGCUACCACAAUGAUUACUGAAAACCUUAGUGCUGAAGUGUGUGAUAUCAGCAGCCACAGGGUAAGCUGGGGAGAGAACAGGGAAGGGACAAGUUUUCAACCCAAAUUUUCCCUGAGGUUCUGACAAAUUAUACUCCCCACAAAGUACCCUGCACUUAGCUAAAGCCCAUUACGUAAGAGCAGAGGACUCAUGGGAAGAGAUUCUCCCUAUACUUCAGCUGGGGAGCGAGACCUGACACUUCUACUGGGGACAAAGGUAUCCGGUCUUGUGUGUGUGUGUGCGUGUGUGCGUGUGUGUGUGUGUGUACUGGGAGGUGGGUGGACUCUCCAGGACUGCCCACUCACAGGUAAGAGUGGACAGAAGAGUCAAGUCACCUCUGUCUACAGAGACAGCGUCAGGUGAAGGUGACUGGCAGCCCUUCUUGUUCAACCUGAGCAGGUUGGAAGUGAGACAGAGGGAAAGUCCAGUGCUGUGCCCUACCCUGCCACUUGGCAGCUGGUUCCUGGCAUGGGGUUGGGAGCACUAGGUACUGACAAACUCUUGGAUGCCUUCCUAACACAGCCACGGCUCUCAUAGCUUGAAGGAAGAACUAUUUCUAGAGUCUCCUUGUCCCCCAACACCUGCUCCUGCUGCCCUCCUCGAGAGCCAGGAAGAUGGGUGCCAAGCUCUUGUCAGGUAGCCCUCCUGCUUACUGAAGCUUAUGGCUAAUUGGCAUAGGGCUGCCCAACUUUCCACAUUGCUUCUAAUUUGAGUGCCUAGUCCCUGCCCACCACCCCACACUCCCCUCUGCCCGCUGGAAUGUGUUCAUUUUCUAAGGCUCUUCCAGAAGCCCACCCUACCCCCGCACCCCUUUCCUGGGCCCAGUCUUGGCCGUCAGCACUUUUUAGCUCCGUACCAGAUACAGAACUCUGAUGGUCAGCAUGAUGGCAGCCUAGGUGGGUCUCCUCACUGCCGGCCUUGUGUAAUGCAUCUUGGUUGAAGGCAUCUGUUCUUGGGUCUGCCCUCUGUUACAAUCCCUUCUUUUUUGUCACAGGCUGGGACAAGGACAACUGUGCAAUUAAGAGCUCCAAAGGAAGCAGCUCUCUGGCAGGUGUAGUCCUAACAUCAUGGGCAGUAAUCCUUUGGCUGUCUCUGCCUCACAGGGCCUGAAGAGCUGUUAGAACCACCAAGUAUAAUCCACUCUGGCCAGGACGGUAAACUGUGCUGUACCAGUACGGGAUGGUUUUGUUUUGAGACAGGUCUCGUACAGUCCAGACUGGCCUCAAAACUGCUAAGUAGCCAAGGAUGACCUCGGAUCCUCCUCUCUCUACCUCCCAAGUGCUGGGAUUACAGUUGCCUACCACCACACGCAGUUUAUGUGGUACUAGGGGUCAAACCAGGGCUUCGUGUAUGUUAGGCCGACACUGCCAUCUAACACCACCUCAAAGUUCCCAGUCCAGGGUCCUAGCUGUGCUAUUAUGCGCUGACCACUUGCUGUGUCUCUGUCCCUGAUCACAGAGCCCUUUUGGGUUAGAGCGUUCCAACUUCAUAGCACUGUAUGGUUUGUCCCGUUACACAGGUAAGAAAAAUUGAUGCUUGGAGGAUCCCAGAAACUUCCCAAGGGACACAGGGUAAUCAAAGACACAACCAGGUCCAUCCAUCUUGAAGCUUGAGAUUUUCAUCUGGAGACGAUUUUGCAGUCUCAGUUUUAAGAGGACCUCUGUCCUACAGUGAACAAAGACUGGGCUGAUGGGACCCGGGGCUCGCUUGCUUAGGGAUUUAUGCUCUCUGGCCCUUUCUCCUCCAGAUGGCGUCACGAAGUGAAUGCACUGCAUACCAGAGAUGGCCUUGGACCAGAGUGGACUUAGGAACUGCUGAUCAGACAAAGGCAGCAGGGACACACAUGCAUUUAGGAAGUGAAGAGCUAUCAGAGAGCAAGGCUUUCGGACACUCCGACAGGACCUUGUGAGGGCCAGACAACACCUCCAAACGCACGCUGACUCAGGGAGCCUCACUCCUACCAGGCUGCUUUAGAGAUAGGAAUGUUGGUUCGUUAAUCUGCAAUGCACGAAACAGCCAAGCAGGUCUUUACUGGGGUGUCUCUUUCUUAGGCAGCACAGCCUGGAGGUCUGAGUCAGCAUUCCGGUUGUUCCUUACUCAAGCAAAGUGUCAGCACAAGACUUAGAAGCUAAACAGAGUCAACUUAAGACAGGGGAGAGCACCCAUAAAGCCUUGCCAAGUGGGUGAGGCUGGUCAGUGGGUAGGGCUGCGGGUCAUCCCCAGGGUUGACCCGGUAAAAGGAGAGAACCAAUUACUGUGUAAUCCUCCAAACUCUACAUGGCAUGAUGUGGCGUAAGUGCCCCCUGGCAGCUCCCUACUCCUAAGAAAUAAAAGUGAAAAAAACAAAAUUAGAGCUACCCUAUCCUCACCAUGCAGUCCACACCUUAAGAGUUUGAAUUCUCAUAGCUAUUAAAUAUGAACCCUGUGGGUGUAUAAGCGGUUAUCACAGUGCCCGAGACAAAGGGACUAUUCAAAUAACACGAGAUAAACUAGUGAGCACCACGGACAGUAUAUGUCCCGCCUUUAUAAACAGUCCCUGUGGUACAGAUGGCUGCCCUCGUUUACUUUGGAAAAAGAAAACUGAAGGGCUGGAGAGGUGGCUUGGCAGUUAAUAGCACUCGUUCUUACAGAGGACCGGCCUUCACAUUGCAGCCCCUGUAUGUCCAUCAAUAACUCCAAUUCUGGAGAACUGGGUGCCCUCUUCUGGCCUCUGCAGGCACCAGGUACGUACAUACGUGGUGGACAUACACACAUGAAGAUAAACACUGACACACAUAAAAUCAAUAAUUCUAAAAAACCAAUUUUUUUGAGAAGCAAAUUGACCCUUGUUCCUAAUGCCAGGGUAACAUUGGAUUUUCUUUCCUCCCCCUGCCUCUCUUUCUUCCUUAUAGUGCUGAGGGUGAAACCCAGGCUCUGAGCAUGUUAAACAAGCCCUCCACCACAGAGCAGCCUCCUCAGCCCACAGCAUUAGAUCUGAAACCCAGCAUUUGAAUUCCAGGUUCUUCUUGCAUAUACACUAUCUGCUUACAUGCACAGCAUCUCGAGUAAAUGGUUGCAGACACCCAUGUUUUGGGGUUCCUCUUACCCAAAUGGCUCUCUUACACAUGCCUUCUAUCUGACAGGGAGAAAUGCAAACAUUUGUCCCACAAGCUGGGUGACCUGAGUUUGAUCCUGGAUUCCUAGAAUCUCCACUGGAAGGAGCAAACCAACUCUGAACACUGAUCCUCUGAUCUCCACAACGAUGUCUGUUCCCUCGCUCUCCCUCUCUCUCCCUCUCUCUCCUCUCUCCCCUCCCCUGCCCUCUCUCACACACACAGUAACAACAAAACAUCCCUCCAACAGUCACUGUUGGAGAGGUUACCUAAGCAGUCCUAAUCACACCCCUGUGUCGACUCUUCUGGAUUCUGCUGAUUGAAUUAGGGCUAUAUAUCUCAUCUAAUUGGCUGACAAGAAGUCAGUCAGAUUCGUGUGUGUGUGUGUGUGUGUGUGUGUGUGUGUGUGUGUGCGCCCGCGCGCGCGCGCGUGCGAAAGACAGGAUAUCUCCCUGAGUUUCUCAGAUGAGCCUCCAAGUAGACUCAAAUGAUUCUCCUGCCUCAGCCUGCCCACGAGCCAGGGCCGCAAGUGUGCAAGUUUCCAGAUCAAACUUUAAAAUAUGAACUCAGAACUGGUGGCUAUCUCAACAGAAAACUCAGAGGCUGGAGGUAUACAAAUCACCCGGUGUAAACAAGCAGCCAUCUUGGGUGAACAAGAGAAGGAUGGCCUGUGUGCAGUGAGAAGAAGUGUAUGGCUGUGUUCUGAGUUCUGUAGUACCAAAGAGAGAGGGAGCAGAACACACACACA
rnacentral:sRNA from 1 species